UCAUAUGCUUGCGUCUUGCAGUUGCGGCCGGGGAGGCAGAGCUGUAUGGGUUCCAGCUCCCACUUUGUUUCCCACUCAGUGUGUGGGCACCUCCCCUCAAGUCAUGGGGAGCCCUGACCAUGCGCAGCAGCUGUGAGGGAGCUUGGCGAAACCUGCUGGAUCACUCGUGUGUGGCAGAAUGCACUGGGACCGGUCACCUUGUCCUGCAGCCACCUGGAAACUUGAGAAUGUAUCAAGGUCGCCUUGGAACCUGGGCCCCAGGAACGCCUGGAUCCCAGAGUGCUCACCUCUUACUAUAGCCCCUGUGGAACACAUACCAGGUGUCUAAGGUGUGCUCACCUUGCUCAUUGGAACCCUCAGACCUGCCCUGGUCACCUGGUGCCACACAGUCCUGGGAACACCCAGAAGCAUCAUGCACACGGGACUGAUGCCCUGAGACCUGCCAUGCCUGCCAUCUUCCUGGAGGGUGGUGGGGUACCUGGUGUCCAUCUGCAGUUACAGGAGCCCCUGGUCCUCCCUGUGUCACCCAUUUGCCUGGAGACCUGCCAGUCUGACGAAGGGACAGCUCAGGACAGCUUGGACUGUGGAGGGAGCAGCCGAGGCUGGACCUGCCUGCCUGUGUGCCCCAGCAGGACUGUGUGUGAGAGGCUGGUAGGGAGGCACUGGGUCAGGUUCCUGGCAGGCCUCAGUCCUGCCUCCAAGCCCAACCUCAGGACUCAGCAGGAACUGCCUUGCCUUGGGAGAUGUCUACGUCUACCAGGUAUCCAAGCCUGCCCCUCUCACAAGUGUGGCUGAAGCAUCCACAGCCCAGGACACAGGCCACAUGUCCCUCUUUCACAGCCACGUCCUGGCUCAUGAUUGGUGGUGCCUGUGGUUGGGUGGAGCCAGUGGGCUUUGUAUAGACAGGUGGCUCUGGAGGUGACAGGCCCUGUGUUCAUGACACACAGCCACCUGUGGGUAGGUGGUUGGGGACAAAGGCCUCUAAGGCUGAGGACAAAGAUCUAUGCCUUGCCUAGGGGGUCACGUAUUUCACUGCCUUGGCAGCUGGAAUGUUCCCCCAGAGGGGCCCCUGUCCUUCAGGAGGGCUGAGCCAUGACUCUGGGGCAUCAUCGUGACCCUCCCCUGCCACCACCCAGGGGGACUAUGGAGGGAGCAGCUGCGUCUGGUGAGGGCUUGGCAGAGCUGAUGAUAGUGACAGCCCUGUAAAUGGCCCCAAGUGCACAGUGUGGUGACUUUGCUCCUCUCCCCCCAGGCUGUGACGGCAGGAACAGAACCCAUGAUUGAAGAUUUUUUUAUUCAAAAAUACAAACAUGUUCACAUAAAAUGCUUUAAAAUUGCGCCACACAGCAAGUCAGUCACCUUCACAUGAAAACAUUCAAAAAACAGAACUGCCGUGAGGACCCACCCUGCACUGCAGGCCCCAGGGACUCAUGUGUCCACCUCAGGACGAGACCCACACUGUGGGCAGCACAGACCCUGUCCUGAGGGUCCCAGUCCCCAGUCAUUCCAAGGAAGAUGCCUGCAUGUGGGUGAGGCCAUGGCUUCCAUGGGGGCUCCUGUCCCACUGGCAGGUGGCAACGUGCCACGCUUCCGUGAAUAAAUAAAAAUUUAUCAUUGCA